GACGAACGCUGGCGGCGUGCUUAACACAUGCAAGUCGAACGGAAAGGCCCUGCUUUUGUGGGGUGCUCGAGUGGCGAACGGGCGAGUAACACGUGAGUAACCUGCCCUUGACUUUGGGAUAACUUCAGGAAACUGGGGCUAAUACCGGAUAGGAGCUCCUGCUGCAUGGUGGGGGUUGGAAAGUUUCGGCGGUUGGGGAUGGACUCGAGGCUUAUCAGCUUGUUGGUGGGGUAGUGGCUUACCAAGGCUUUGACGGGUAGCCGGCCUGAGAGGGUGACCGGCCACAUUGGGACUGAGAUACGGCCCAGACUCCUACGGGAGGCAGCAGUGGGGAAUAUUGCACAAUGGGCGGAAGCCUGAUGCAGCAACGCCGCGUGCGGGAUGACGGCCUUCGGGUUGUAAACCGCCUUCGCCUGUGACGAAGCGUGAGUGACGGUAAUGGGUAAAGAAGCACCGGCUAACUACGUG
rnacentral:rRNA from 1 species